AACUGAUACUACCUGCGGGAACCUGCGGAAGGAUCAUUACCGGCGACAGGGAGCCGUUCGGUUCCCGAGCUUACACCUCUGACCCGCGCGUCCCCUCCCGCCCUCCGGCACGGGGACGUGUAGAAGUUACGGUUUAUCGUGUUCACCUCUCACCCCAUGUGAAACCUAUACAUUUUGCUUCGGCAGCACCGAGCGGGAGACCGCGAGGGUAAGGCUGCCGGAAGCCCAUAACAAAAACCU
rnacentral:misc_RNA from 1 species